rnacentral:rRNA from 1 species
UACAGAGGUCUCAAGCGUUGUUCGGAUUCAUUGGGCGUAAAGGGUGCGUAGGCGGCGCGGUAAGUCGGAUGUGAAAUCUCCAGGCUCAACCUGGAGGGGUCAUUCGAUACUGCCGUGACUAGAGUUCGGUAGAGGAGUGUGGAAUUCCUGGUGGAGCGGUGAAAUGCGCAGAGAUCAGGAGGAACACCCGUAGCGAAGGCGGCACUCUGGGCCGAUACUGACACUGAGGAGCGAAAGCGUGGGGAGCGAGCAGG